rnacentral:sRNA from 20 species
AUACCUGUGAGAAGUUGAGAUCCUGCGCAUUGGAAACAAGGAAACAACUUGUGCCUGAUCUUCAAA